GACCAAGAAAUUCAAUAUGAAAGUGUUUCCCAAGGUGAUAGAAUGUUUCCCUAACCCUAGAGUCUUCCCAAGAUGAAAUCUCUCAACCCUAGCCUUUUUGUUAGCCUUUGAAACCCUAAAAUCCCCUUAAAAAAGUCAGAAAACGCAUAACAUAUAUAUAGGCCCGCAGACACUACACCUGGGCGCAGCCUCCCACGCCUGGGCGUGAGCAACCUGAGUUCAGCCCAGUUUUUCACGCUUGGGCGCCAACUCCCACGCCUGGGCGUGAGCAGGCAGAGACUACCAAAACAUGAUUUUCUGAUUUUUACAUUAUUUCAAGGCAAUAUUCAACACAUGGAAACAUGGAAACAUUCAGUUGUUUCAGCAAUUCACAUAUAUGCAAAAAGUGGUUACUUUAGUAUAUCGUUUUUUUUAUCUGAAUUACACAUGCCUUCCAAAACUCAGAAGCAUUUAGUUUAAUGUUUUUCUUCAGAAAAACUGAAUGGUUGUGCAGUUAAUAAUGUGUCUCUAAUCUUAUUUAUUCUAAAGUUGUUAUCAUGGAUUCAGACAUUGAUGACAUUUUCAACCCUGAAGGUUACUUACCAUGGAUGGGAUUGGGAAGUGCUUUUACUGAUACAUGUACUUUCUGAGUAUAAUAACAAAGGUGCUGGUGCUGAUACAUCAAAGAAAGAGAGUUAAAUGGCCUGGUGUUAAGACUAUUAAAGCUACUGAAGCAGCUGCUUAUUACCCUGGAAAAUUCUUUGAGCUUGCUAACUCAUCUGAUAAGGAUUUUUGGAUUGUGAAAUCUGAGGUUCGUUAUGCACUUUGGUCCUUUGGAUGCUAAAAGCCUAAUACUAAUCCUCUUGAUCCUACUGGUGGUCAUGAAGCUGGAGCCGGAGCUGGAGCAACGAAUAGUGGUUUUGUUAACAAAGGUAAUAUUUGGCUUCAAGUGAUUCUUUUGGUUGGGAUAUUUUCACUAUCAUCAUCUUCAUUCAACUUGUUCUCACAGUAAUAGAACUGUAUAGAAAGAUUCAUUUAGGAGAUACCUCAUUGUUUGAAACAUAGUGAGGGUCUGAGAUAAAAGAAAUGGCAAAACCUCAAACCAUAGUGAGGGUCUGGGACAACCCCAUUUGUGUUGUAGACAUCUCGAUUAGACACAAUGUUCACAAUGUUAAUAGUCCCAAAA